AUUCGACAAAGGUAAACCCUGAGCGAUCAGGGGGCGCAAAGGAAAGGGUCUUGUAGCCGUGAACAGUAUUUGUGAAUAGUGUUAGUAUACUUAACCAGACACUUACACUCAUAACUGACACGAAGAAAUAAGAUAGCCUUACUGCCGAA
rfam:Candidatus Jettenia caeni DNA, contig: KST1_D.